AAUACAGGGCUGCAUUCCAAACGACCAAUGAAUUUCUCAUCUACCUCACUACUUCUUUGAACGCGGUCGCCCUCAGGUUCAUAAACAUGACGAAUCCGAAGAUACGCUUUCAGCUUAAUGGCGUUACAGUUGAUAAUGAUGACAUCCUUACUAAGGAUAAAGUUUGCUCGCCGCACAACCGAGGAUUACAGAGGAUUAUUAGAG